GACGAACGCUGGCGGCGUGCUUAACACAUGCAAGUCGAACGGAAAGGCUCUGCGGUGGGGGGGUGCUCGAGUGGCGAACGUGUGAGGAACACGUGAGUAACCUGGCCUUGACUUUGGGAUAACUUCAGGAAACUGGGGCUAAUACCUGAUAGGAGCUCCUGCUGCUUGGUGGGGGUUGGAAUGUUGCGGCGGGUGGGGAUGGACUCGCGGCUUAUCAGCUUGUUGGUGGGGUAGUGGCUUACCAAGGCUUUGACGGGUAGCCGGCCUGAGAGGGUGACCGGCCACACUGGGACUGAGAUACGGCCCAGACUCCUACGGGAGGCAGCAGUGGGGAAUAUUGCACAAUGGGCGGAAGCCUGACGCAGCAACGCCGCGUGCGGGAUGACGGCCUUCGGGUUGUAAACCGCUUUCGCCUGUGACGAAGCGUGAGUGACGGUAAUGGGUAAAGAAGCACCGGCUAACUACGUG
rnacentral:rRNA from 1 species